GUCUUACUCCCUCCGCCCCAAGUUAGUUGUCUUAAAUUUGUUUAGAUAUGCAUGUAUCUAGACACGUUUUAGUGUUAGAUACAUCCGUAUAUAUACAAAUUUAAGACAACUAAUUUGAAUCGAAGAUAAUAUAUU
rfam:Hordeum vulgare subsp. vulgare, WGS project CAJW01000000 data, contig: morex_contig_41207